UGCCAGCAGCCGCGGUAAGACGGGAGAUGCAAGCGUUAUUCGGAUUUAUUGGGCGUAAAGGGUCUGUAGGUUGUUGGUUAAGUCUAUGGUCAAAUUCCGAAGCUCAACUUCGGGCCGGCACUAGAAACUAAUCAACUUGAGUACGUUAGAGGCAGGGGGAAUUCCCAGUGUAGCGGUGAAAUGCGUAGAUAUUGGGAGGAACAUCAAUGGCGAAGGCACCCUGCUAGGCCGAUACUGACACUGAAAGACGAAAGCGAGGGGGGCAAAUGGGAUUAGAUA
rnacentral:rRNA from 1 species